rfam:Bombyx mori DNA, contig: Bm_scaf3_contig2768, strain: p50T/Dazao, build 2, whole genome shotgun sequence.
UUAGCUCGAAUUUGUAUGAAGUUAGAAUUUUGCCUACGUUUGCCGCUAGGGGCGCUAUUCCAACUUCAUACAAAGUUGAGUUA